GUGUGUCCAGACAAAGACUUCCAUCAGGAGACCCACCUGUACUGAUGUCCAGUGCUCCAAGGGUACGUUGUGUGAGAUGGUCAAUGGUUGGCCCCAGUGUGUGCAAAUGAAAGUGGCCCCAAGGCAGCCUUCCUGCAGGGACAUGCAGUGUCCUAAAGGAACAUCAUGUAGGAUGACGGAUGGUUGGCCUCAGUGUGUGCAGAACCAGCCCUCCUGUCAGGAUGUCCAAUGUCAGAAGGGAACGGAGUGUCAGAUGGUCAAUGGUUGGCCACGGUGUGUCCAGACAAAGACUUCCAUCAGGAGACCCACCUGUACUGAUGUCCAGUGCUCCAAGGGUACGUUGUGUGAGAUGGUCAAUGGUUGGCCCCAGUGUGUGCAAAUGAAAGUGGCCCCAAGGCAGCCUUCCUGCAGGGACAUGCAGUGUCCUAAAGGAACAUCAUGUAGGAUGACGGAUGGUUGGCCUCAGUGUGUGCAGAACCAGCCCUCCUGUCAGGAUGUCCAAUGUCAGAAGGGAACGGAGUGUCAGAUGGUCAAUGGUUGGCCACAGUGUGUCCAAAUCAAGACUUCCAUCAGGAGACCCACCUGUAGUGAUGUCCAAUGUUCCAAAAGUUCAGUGUGUCAGAUGGUGGAUGGUUGGCCUCAGUGUGUUCAAGCCAAGGUGGCCCCAAGGCAGCCUUCCUGCAGCGACAUGCAGUGUCCUAAAGGGACAUCAUGCAGGAUGACAGAUGGGUGGCCCCACUGUGUCCAAAAUCGUCCCUCCUGCAGUGACAUCCGCUGCCAGAAGGGAACAGAGUGCCAAAUGGUCAACGGUUGGCCACGGUGUGUCCAAAUCAAGACCUCCCCGAGGCGACCUUCCUGUGAGGACAUCCAGUGUCCCAAAGGGAUCGCGUGCAAGAUGCUACACGGGCAGCCCCAAUGCAUCCAUCGACAGCCCUCCUGCAGUGACAUCCAGUGCCAGAAAGGGACAGCAUGCCAGAUCAUAGACGGGUGGCCCCAGUGCGUCCAACGCAGCCCCUCCUGCACCGACAUCCAAUGUCAGAUGGGCACCGUGUGCCGAAUGCUUGACGGGUGGCCACGGUGUGUCCAAACGAUGGCAUCCACGAGGCAACCUUCCUGCAUGGACAUCCUCUGUCCCAAAGGCACAGCCUGCACCAUGGCGGAGGGCAAACCCCGCUGCCAUCCCAGCCAACCCCUCCUCCUCGCUGCAUCCCGGGUUCUUCCUGCUCCUCUCCCCAAAACUCCCACUGAGGUUUCUGUUGUCCCCUCCUUGUGCCGUGGAGCCAACUGUGCUGGGCUCCCCCCGUCCUGCCAACACGUCAGCUGUCAACCCGGCACCAUUUGCAUCCUGCUACACGGCCGCCCCACCUGCAUCUCCCGACCUUCUUGCAAGAACCUCCGCUGCAAAGCGGGCACGGGCUGCAAAAUCAUCAAAGGUUGGCCCCGUUGUGUCCGUAUCCCAUCCUGCCAGGACCUGCAAUGCCCAAGUGGGACGGCGUGCAGGGCAGUGCAAGGUUGGCCCAAAUGCGUGAGGAUGGCGAGGAGCGCUCCGGUAUCGUCGUGUGCCAACAAGAUUUGCCCACCAGGGACCUCAUGCCACAUGGCCAAGGGCAUCCCCCACUGCAUCCCCCAACGCCCCAACUGCUCUACGGUGCGUUGCUCAGACGGAACCGAGUGCCACAUGGUGGGAGGUCGACCCAAAUGCGUGCCCAACUCACCCAACUGCAGCACAGUCCGAUGCCCUGCCGGCACCGCGUGCCAACUGGAGGGUGGUUGGCCGACCUGCGUGCCCAACAAACCAUCCUGCAGCACCGUCCGAUGCUCUGAGGGGACCACGUGUCGAAUGGUGGAUGAUUGGCCCAAAUGUGUCCCCAACAAACCAUCCUGCAAAGAGGUGUUGUGCCCGGCGGGGACUGAGUGCCAAAUGGUGGAUGAUUGGCCCAAAUGUGUGUCCAAAAAGCCAACUUGCAAAGAUACGCAUUGCCCUCUCGGAACAACGUGUCGGGUGGUGGAGGAUUGGCCCAAGUGUGUUCCCAACCAGAUGUCCUGCAAAGAAGUGCACUGCCCUCCCGCAACGACCUGCAGAAUGGUGGGGGAUUGGCCCCGUUGCGUUCCCAACCAGUUGUCCUGCAAAAAUAUGCAUUGUCCCGUUGGGACGACGUGCCAAGUAGUGAAGGAUGAACCUCAGUGCGUUCCCAACCAGUUGUCCUGCAAAGAUUUCCCGUGUCCAACGGGGACAAUUUGUAGGAUGGUGGACAACCAACCCAAGUGCGAACCCUACAAGUUGUCCUGCAAAGAUUUCCCGUGUCCAGUUGGGACAAUUUGUAGGAUGGUAGACAACCAACCCAAAUGUGAACCCAACAAGAUGUCCUGCAACGACAUCCAUUGCCCAAAGGGCGAAACCUGCAAGCUGACAGAGGAAGGCUCACCCCAAUGCGUCCCCACACAUCACCCCCCACUCGUCUGCCACGUCCUGAGGCAGUGGAGGUACCGAGCUUUUGAUGGGAGGGGGUACAGCUUGGGGGGUCCCUGUGCCCAAACUCUUGUGAGCACUUGUGGUGCCCAGAAGACCUUCCUCAACGUCACGGUUGGGGGACAAGAUGGCACGGGAAGGGCUGCAUCCUUUGCCUACGUCAUGCUGCAAGGUGAUGGCUACGAGGUCGUGCUGGUCCGAGGAGAGGAGAAGAUGGCCAGGGUAAGGGGAGUGGGAAGGGGGGGUGUGAGGAGAGGGGUGGUCUGGUAUGGGGUUAUGGGGUGGGAUUAUGGAGUUUUGGGAAGGGAUUA
rnacentral:lncRNA from 1 species